GUGCUUUGUUGAAUGUUAUCAGUGUUGAGUUGACGCCUUUUCCAGAUUGCAAUUAUUUGUGAUUUUCAGUGACCAAGAACAAAAUUUAUUGAAUCUGCAUUUUCUGUUAAAGAAUGCAUGGAUCCAUGAAGACUGAAUUGAUUCAUUUCACAAUGUUCAUGUGCACGGAAAUUGGAAUGGAUUGUGCAGGGAGUAUCAUGCAUGACUAAUUUGAGUUGCACAAUACUGUUAAAUUGGAUACUGAUCUAUUGCAUCAUUGACUAUGAUUUCUCUGCAGGGUUGGAUGGAGAUCUGAAUUUACUUAUUAAUUGGCUCAACCAGAUGACUUGAUUGUAUCGGAUCCAGACAGCAUGCAAUUUGAGUAAUUAUUGAUGUGUCUUUUCACCCAGUCCUACUGAAGGAUUUAACCUGCACGAACAAGGCAUGAUAGUUAUUUUGUUAUUAAAAUCAAUUAGAUAGACCAAAAGAACUUAUUCUUGUUAUUG